ACAAAUGUGGUUUACAAUGUUUAAACAUUUUUUUAAAUGUCACACACCUUUUUUGUAACACAUAAACAUUUAUUAAAUAUCACAAACACAAAAAUAUAAAUUUUUUUCUUACAUAGAACAAGAAGGAAUAACAACAUGAAAAAUAUUUAUCCCAUUUGGAUAUGUUGUGUUUUCGAAACCCGGUGGUAAUCUUAGUUAACAUUGAUCACGAGGUCACAUAGUCGAGCCACGGUGCUCUCUUUUUUGGGGUUACAUUUCUUGUAAAAUUGAUUUUUCGGCCAUGUUUAUAUGAUAUAAAAAUUAUUUGUGCUACCUAGACAUGAAUGAUCAUUGGUUUGGUGGUUGUUAACCUGAGCCUAGUAGUGGCACGUCCCUAGUUUGUAACCGAACCAUCCCUUGUUUUUUCAUUUUAUUUUAGGGGCUUUAUACGUAAAUAAAAAAUAAUUUUAUUUUAGGGGCUUAAUAAGUUAAAAAAAUAGGUGUAUAAUACGUAAAUAAAGAAAAAGUCUGCAGAUCUACCAUGCGUCGCGGGCUUACGGUGGGCCCUGGCCAUGCUGGCAUGCCACAUAGACCACGGAUACAUCCGCGUACAUGGAAUGUGACCGUAUAUGAACGUUUGUGCAAGUUUGAUGACCAGAAACACGUAUUUUACAAGUUUGUGCACCAAACUGACCGUCACGUGCAAGUUCUAUGACUCCUGGUGUAUUUACCUCUUGACAAAAAAGAUGAAAAUAUAUGUUUGGUUUUGAUAUUGAACUCCCAACCUCUUGGUUGCUUUGGGGCACGAAGGCUAUAGAAUGUGCCAUCCUAAGCAUUCGUUUAUCCAAAAAUACCAAUGUGAAUUCUCGGUAAAGAAUGUUUACAUUACUCUUUUCUCUGUGUGUAUAUAUAAAAGAAGUGGCCAUUUUUUUGCAGAUUGUGUUAUUGCACAGAAAAUUUGAGCUAUUAUGCAUAAUUUUUCAGUAGAUCUAAUAAUCUAAACUUAAUGUUGUUCAGUCAAUUAGUUUACAUGGAAUCAUACCGCCGUCUCGAGCUCACGCCACACGUUCCUCGAUUGAUCCAUCCUUCCUUGUCAGUAGCGACCAUUCUUCUACUACAUAGUUCCUCAACCUGGCCAACCUUAAUUGAUAGGAACCAUUGUUUUCUUCCGUUGCAACGCACGGGCAUUUGUGCUAGUAAUAAUAAAACAGCUAUUGCUUCUGGUGGUCCGUCGUAGUAUUAGUUUUUCAAAAAAGCCCCUCGGUUUACAUGAAAUCAACCCCCGGUCCCUGCUUUAGUGGCAUUCUGAGAAAACAUUUCACUUUUACAAAACAAACCCUAUAGUUAUUUGAAUUCAGUCCUUACCCUCCCCUUCAUCUUAUCCAUUAUGUCUUGAGCUGGCGGCCGCCGUGCCUCGCGCGGGAGGAUGGAGGACGUUCGACGGGGCGUGUGCGGCGGAGACGGCGCGGCGAGGCGGGGCAGUGGUGGUGGUGGUGGUUGUCCGGCCAUCGUGCCUCGCGUGGGGAGGAUGGACGACGCUCGCCGAGGCAUGUGCGGCGGAGACGGCUUCUGCCGCGCGUCGAGGUGGAGUGGUGGCGUUGGUUGUCGGCCAACAUGAGGAGGCAGAGGCGGCCAAAGGCAAUGAGGCAUCGGCGUCGGCUAGCGAAGUGGCGGCCGGAGCAGAGGACGGCGAGAAGGCAGGCAAGGAGGCACGGGCGUCGGAUAUUCAAGGGGCGGUCGGAGGAUAGGACGAUGGGAGAAGUCGACCAUGGAUGCCGAGGUGUUUGCAUCAGGUAAGCAGAGGCGACGAUGGAGUGGCUUCGGCUUCAGCACUCGCGCUGGUGGUGGAGGGAGACCAUGCCCGGAGGAGGCAGGGUGAGUACGUUGUGCACCAGCGCCGGACGCGAGCACGCGCCACUGUGAGCUGUCCACCACUGCCAGUCGUCUCCGGCCUGCACCGUAAUAAAUCAAUUGAGUCCCGACCCGGAUUGGAAUUCGCUGCUAUAAGAAGGAAGUGUUUCUGGCCGGAAUCUCCAUCAGAAAAUCCAUCAAUUCCCAGAAUUCUGGGUCCAGAGAAGCAUCAUGUCGCCUUUGAGUUCGCUGAAGGAAGAAGCACCAAGUUCGCCGGAGGUAGAAGAACGUUUGUCGAGCCAUCCAAUAUCGCCGACGGUGGCUACACCAGAGAGUUUACAAACAAGAGUGAAACCUAUAAUGAUGAGUGAUGAUUAUGGUAUUGAUUACUGGAUCAAUAAUGCAUAGCAAGGAAGCUAUUUUACUGGAAAAAAGUAAGUCCAGUCUUAAACUUAGUAAAUCGUUGGGUGGAUCAGAUAGGAUGUGGCUUAAACCUUCGCUGCUCCCUGCCAUUUAGUACUGGCUGGAGUCUGUUUGAGCUGACCAAUGUGGAGCAGAGUGGCAAUGGAGAUACCCAGUCUCACAUGCUUUAUUCUUCUUCAUGUAGUAUAACAGAGCUUGGUUGAAGCUAACUGUGCCUUCAGUCAGUCCCUUGAUCUUUUGUGUGUUCAGAGAUUUAUUUAGAGAUGGUAAAAUAAAGAUCUUGAUGUAUCGACGGUUUGCGGUCAUGGGGCUGUUCUGUUACAGUUCAGGAUACUCAAUUUCCUCCUGCUCAUAUCAUCGUCUCCCUGUAAUGUGAUGUAGCACAGUACUAUGCACUUCAGCACUAAGCCCAGAACCUAGCUAGCUUACUUGAGGGUCAGCUCCGGAUUUUGUCGAUUAUGUUUGUGUAUAAUUUGUGAGUGGCUGCAGAGAGCAAAUUAACAAGUUAAUUAAUACGAACCUGUUUUUUCUCUACGGUCCUCUGAACAUACUCGCUAUAAGAACACUAAUUACAAGAAUUUGAGGAUGCCAGGUGUUUAAGAUAUUUGAUGAAUUUCCCUCCGGAGUGGACCUGACAUAGUUCGGACAGAGUAUGGACUAGAAGGCGGAGGAAAUAAAAAUUAGGCGGUCGAAUUGGUUGUAUCUACCAUGUACGUCUUUUUUUAGAAAAAGCGAUGCAUGCAACCAUUUUAUUAAUUAUUCACACAAAACUUUAUAAAGUCAUACUAACAGUAAGAUUAAAACCAUCGUCUAACAACAUCUGUCGCUACUCCUAUCCAGUUGAUGAAGGGAUGCUGACUGGGUCUAAUACCAAACAAACCUCACAACCAAACCUAACAUCUAAGACCCGAGGUCCCAACCAGGACACCUGCCGGGUAUGAGGCCGCCGCAGCCAACUGCCACCAAUCCAUCUUCAGUGUUGUACUGCUGCAUCAACCUUGCCAGGCCUGCCGUCGACGCCACCAUGAUGCCAGACAACGCCACCAUCCUGCGUGUGUCCAUCCACGCGCGCCAUCGCCGAAACUCCGCAGCGCCAUGCCGCCGUGAUCCGUUGUCGGCCUUGCGGUAAAUGUAACACCGCUCCUCCUCUUGCCACCUCCAUCCAUCACUUGCUUCAAAACGAUGCCCCCAGGAGAGAAAGCGAUACAGAGAACGCCAUCAUCAUCCGAUCCGGGAGACCCAGAUCUAGGGUUUCCCUCGGAGCAUCCUGAGCCUGAUGACGCAAACUGCAACGACGAUGCCUCGACAAGGAAAUGACAUCAAAGACGCCGCCAUCAUCCGCCAUGACCGUAGUCUGCACGAUUUUCAUCGGCACUUGCGCCACCGGGCGUGCGCCGUCGGCGUCGCUGGUCCCUUCAACGGGAGCAAAUUACAAAACGAUGCCCUGAAGAGGGACUACGAUGCAAAAGCACCACCAUUGCUCGAUCCCAAGGAGAUCUAGGGUUUCCCCCCGAAGUUGUCCGCGCCGUCAAGGACCAAACAAGGAUGGAAUCUGCAGAUCCGCCCAGCUGCCGACGUGCUGCACCCGCCAUCGCGCCGACCAUGACCCGGAGACCAAGCCCGCGCCUGGGCCCUGACCCGGUUGUGCCGCCGCCGUCCACCACACGAGGGCGAGUCGGGAGGAGGCAGCACUGUAUGCCUUAAAUGGGGGAGAAUUUUACUUCCCCGCCCUCUGCACCAACUAGAGAUGCAUACGACCAUUUUAGUAUGAGUAACAAGAUAAACAUGGUCCUCAGAAAUUUUUAAAUGAGUAUGAAGAUAAAUGAGUAAGAAGAUAUUUUUUGAUGAGUGGUUUCACCACACACCAAACUUGAUCGUCAAUAAAUGAAGGAAAACCCCUGUGCAUCACCUGUCAAUUCUAGAAAUUGAACUCGGAUCGUUAGGCUACACAACCGCAUACCCAACCACUCAACCAAGGCUCCCAUGUACGUCUGGUGAGCUUUUUUCCCAUCGGAUGUUACUCAUGGUAGUCACAGGUGCACUUGCUUUGAGAUGUGAGGUGUUAUAAUGGCGUCCUUUAUGGGACUUUCUAAGACGUGUUGACAAGCCCGGGGCUUAGUCAGGGAUGAUAAUGAAUGGUUCAAGAUUUUCGAAGUAGCUAUUGUAUGGGCUACUAAUUUUCAGUUGCGGUAUCUCUUUAUGACAAUUUUGUUGCACUAUGAAAUUACAAGUGGCCCUGCGCUGUUUGACCCAGCAAGGCAGAAUAUAUAUCUUCCUCAUUUUACAAAACAUAUCUUCCCUAUUAUGAUUUUAAUUAGUUGGGAUUCUUACGGUGGUAAUCUUCCUCUUUUUGCAACAUAGGUCUUUUUACCUCUUCUAUUUUGUAUCACAUUCUAUUAAAUAAAUGGAAUUCUUAUUUGUUGCAGGAGAACCGGUUGUGGACGAAGUGCAGAUGUUCAAAGUUUCAGUACAGCAGCUUCAUUUCGGUUGCAAAGCUUGCUUAAGUAACUUGGUUAGAAUGGUCCAAUAGUUCAUCGUCUCUGAGCGCUGCAUACAAAAAAUCAGGUUAUGGAUUUUGGUGGCUGUCUUUCUUAUUCUCAUGACUGUUUGCUUAAUUUCUUUUGAUGAUCUCUUUACACGACUUUCAGAUUGAGCCCAUUUGCACCUGUCAAUCUUAUAGACAUAUAUGUGGCUGGCUACACCUAUCCCUCUACUACCACAGUUACCGUCUUACUAUCUGUAUUAGCCAAAUUGUUCCAGGUCUUUCUAACUCUUUCAUGGACAUCUUCUAUGAACCAGAGCACACUGUUCUUGUCAGGGACCUUCCUAGCCCAUACAUAUACUGGGCUGGCCCUUGGAUAUCACAUGGGCCAGGCCUGCCUGUGCAUUACCGACUGCUACGGGUUACAAGUGCUGGGAGAGGAAGCAACGAAGAAUCUAUCCAAUGGAUCAACGAAUCGGCGGCGGUGGCUACCUCUUUCCCCUUCCUCCUCCUUCCCCCAAUUCUUGUAUCCAGACUUGUAAUCUCUAAAUUGCUAUCUGGGUUCGUGACAAGAACUUUUUUUCU